rnacentral:rRNA from 1 species
UACGAAGGGGGCUAGCGUUGUUCGGAUUUACUGGGCGUAAAGCGCACGUAGGCGGAUCUUUAAGUCAGAGGUGAAAUCCCAAGGCUCAACCUUGGAACUGCCUUUGAUACUGGGGAUCUUGAGUCCGGGAGAGGUGAGUGGAACUGCGAGUGUGGAGGUGAAAUUCGUAGAUAUUCGCAAGAACACCAGUGGCGAAGGCGGCUCACUGGCCCGGUACUGACGCUGAGGUGCGAAAGCGUGGGGAGCAAACAGG